ACGGCCAUACCAUGCUGAAUAUACCGGUUCUCAGAUCACCCAAGUCCAGCAUCAUUGGGCGCGGUUCAGUACUUGGUGGGUGUCACCUGGGAACACCACGUGCCGU